ensembl:snRNA U6 U6 spliceosomal RNA
GUUGCUCUCUUUGUACAUAUACCAAAGUUGGAACGAUAUGGGGAAAAUUAGUGUGGCUCCUCUGCAAGAAUAAUACGCAAGUUCGGGAGGUGUUUACAAUUUUG